UACGUAGGGUGCAAGCGUUGUCCGGAAUUAUUGGGCGUAAAGAGCUCGUAGGCGGUUUGUCGCGUCUGCUGUGAAAACCCGAGGCUCAACCUCGGGCCUGCAGUCGAUACGGGCAGACUAGAGUGUGGUAGGGGAGACUGGAACUCCUGGUGUAGCGGUGAAAUGCGCAGAUAUCGGGAGGAACAUCAAUGGCGAAGGCAGCUCGCUGGGACGGUACUGACGCUGAGGCGCGAAAAGCGUGGGGGAGCAAACAGG
rnacentral:rRNA from 1 species